rnacentral:rRNA from 1 species
AACGAACGCUGGCGGCAUGCCUAACACAUGCAAGUCGAACGGGACCUUCGGGUCUAGGGGCGCACGGGGGCGUAACGCGGGGGAACCUACCCGUGGGUUCGGAAUAACUCCCCGAAAGGGGUGCUAAUACCGGAUGAUGUCUUCGGACCAAAGAUUUAUCGCCGUUGGAUGGGCCCGCGUUGGAUUAGCUAGUUGGUAGGGGAAAAGCCUACCAAGGCGACGAUCCAUAGCUGGUCUGAGAGGAUGCUCAGCCACACUUGGACUGCGACACGGCCCAGAAUCCUACGGGAGGCAGCAGUGGGGAAUACUGGACACGGGGCGCAAGCCUGAUCCAGCCACGCCGCGUGAGUGAUGAAGGCGUUAGGGUUGUAAAUCUCUUUUACCCGGGAUGAUAAUGACAGUACCGGGUGAAUAAGCUCCGGCUAACUCCGUG